UGAGCAAUCUGCCCUUCUCUUCGGAAUAAGCGUUGGAAACGACGUCUAAUGCCGAAUACGACCUCCUUUCGCAUGAUCGGAGGUGGAAAGCUCCGGCGGAGAAGGAUGAGCUCGCGGCCUAUC
rnacentral:rRNA from 1 species